GACGAACGCUGGCGGCGUGCUUAACACAUGCAAGUCGAACGGGUCUGCCCUGUUUUUUGCGGGGUGGGUCAGUGGCGAACGGGUGAGUAACACGUGAGUAACCUGCCCCUCACUUCUGGAUAACCGCUUGAAAGGGUGGCUAAUACGGGGUGUUCUGGCUGUGCCGCAUGGUGUGGCUGGGAAAGAUUCCCUUUUGUGGUGUUUUGGUGGGGGAUGGGCUCGCGGCCUAUCAGCUUGUUGGUGGGGUGAUGGCCUGCCAAGGCUUUGACGGGUAGCCGGCCUGAGAGGGUGGGCGGUCACACUGGGACUGAGAUACGGCCCAGACUCCUGCGGGAGGCAGCAGUGGGGGGUAUUGCACAAUGGGCGGAAGCCUGAUGCAGCGACGUCGCGUGAGGGAUGGAGGCCUUCGGGUUGUGAACCUCUUUCGCCGGUGAAGAAGGUCCUGCUCUUUGUGGUGGGGUUGACGGUAGCCGGGUUAUGAAGCGCCGGCUAACUACGUG
rnacentral:rRNA from 1 species